rnacentral:tRNA from 1 species
AUUUCUUUAGUAUAUUUCGUACAACUGUCUUCCACACAGUAAGAUUAAUUAUAAAAUUAAAAGAAGUA